rnacentral:rRNA from 1 species
AUUGAACGCUGGCGGCAGGCCUAACACAUGCAAGUCGAGCGGAUGAAGGGAGCUUGCUCCUGGAUUCAGCGGCGGACGGGUGAGUAAUGCCUAGGAAUCUGCCUGGUAGUGGGGGAUAACGUCCGGAAACGGGCGCUAAUACCGCAUACGUCCUGAGGGAGAAAGUGGGGGAUCUUCGGACCUCACGCUAUCAGAUGAGCCUAGGUCGGAUUAGCUAGUUGGUGGGGUAAAGGCCUACCAAGGUGGCGAUCCGUAACUGGUCUGAGAGGGUGGUCAGUCACCUUGGCAGUGAGAAAGGGCCCCGACUCCUGCGGGAGGACGCAGUGGGGAAUAUUGGGCGAUGGGGGAAAGCCUGAUCCUGCCAUGCGGGGUGUGGCAAGAAGGUCUUCUGCUUGUAAAGCACUUAAGGUUGGGAGGAAGGACAGUAAUUUAAUACCUUGCUGUUUUGACGUUACCAACAGAAUAAGCUCCGGCUAACUUCGUG